GACGAACGCUGGCGGCGUGCCUAAUACAUGCAAGUUGAGCGCUGAAGGUUGGUACUUGUACCAACUGGAUGAGCAGCGAACGGGUGAGUAACGCGUGGGGAAUCUGCCUUUGAGCGGGGGACAACAUUUGGAAACGAAUGCUAAUACCGCAUAAAAACUUUAAACACAAGUUUUAAGUUUUAAAGAUGCAAUUGCAUCACUCAAAGAUGAUCCCGCGUUGUUUUAGCUAAUUGGUUAGGUAAAGGCUCACCAAGGCGAUGAUACAUAGCCGACCUGAGAGGGUGGUCGGCAAAAAUGGGAAUGAGAAAAGGCCCAAAAUCCUAAGGGAGGGAACAGGAGGGAAACAUCGGAAAUGGAGGAAAGUCUGAACGAGCAAAGGCGAGUGAGUGAAGAAGGGUUUCGGAACGUAAAACUCUGUUGGUAGAGAAGAACGUGGGGGAGAGUGGAAAGCUCAUGAAGUGACGGUAACAACACAGAAAGGGACGGCUAACUACGUG
rnacentral:rRNA from 1 species